CCUCGUGAUCUGCCCGCCUCGGCCUCCCACAGUGCUAGAAUUACAGGCAUGAGCCACCACACCCAGCCGAGGGCAGGAAUUUUAUGCAUUUUGCUCAUGGCUUGAUUCCUAGGGCUUAGUGUAUUCUCAAUGAAUAUUGAUUGAAUUAAUGUAUAAAUCAAUAUUCUACAACCAAAUUCCCUAAUAUUCUUAGGGAAUUUACCCAUAAAUUACCCAUAGUAUCUCUCAUAUGCCCACUAACGUCCACAGAAGAGACUAAAAAUGUGUUCCAAUGAACUAUCUGAUAGGUUGCUAAAUAUUUUAUGGAUUAUUUUGAAGUUUAGUUUUCUGAGAUUGCAAAUUUAAAAAUUUUUAGGCUUUAAUCUUUGAAUCACAAAUUAUUCUAACAUAAUGUACCUUAUCUAGGAAAGGAAGAAAAUGUUGUUUGUUUUUACUUUCUUUUUAUAUAAAAGCUGCAUAUAUAAACCUAAAUUUCUUGUUGGUUCCUUAAUAAAAUUGUGUCUCUCUGGGGUGAUAACAGAUAGGUCUCAAAAUACAUAGCAAAUUAUAGGCCAUCAGCGAAAGCCUCUCUUUAAAGCUUUACUUGAACAAAUAAUGGGUAAAAGGAUACGUUCUCCAGAUGAAUAUGAUAGAUCACAGUGCUUUGGUUAACUGACUUUAUAACUUUGGAGAGACAGAUCUGGUUGGCUAGAAACACUAAUAGAUAGGAACAUAAUUAUCACAUAAAACCUAUAAAACUCAAAAUGAGUUGAUCUUAAUAUUGCUGUCCCUCCAUGGCCAGUAAGCAAACCUCCAUUUUACCAGAGGAAUACAGAAUAAAGCCAUCUGGAUUAUUGGAGAAAAGAGCAUUCAAAUGACUUAGAUUAACCCAAGCCUUAUUUUCUGAGGGAAUAGCUCCAACCAUCCAGCUAAAAAGGAUGUCAAUUUAGAACUCAGUUUGAUGUAAAGGGAUAGAAAAGAUUAAGAUAAUUAAUUGGCAUCUGACCAUGUUUAAAGAGUGGGAAGGUUUAGGAUGGAAAACAAUCUCAGUAAAUUGCAUUAUAAUUAUAAGAAGAAAACAGGGUCUAUCUCAUCGCCUGCAGGGAGCCAGAAAUAGAGUCAGUGUAACUUUAUGAAGUGCUCAGAGUCUGCAAAACAUGAUUGCUGUUGCCAUCAGUUGAGAAAAAAGUGAUAUAUCAAGGAAGACUAUAAAUCUAAUUUGUUAGACUAGAUACCCAUAAUAAAUGUAAAGCUAUAUAUUUGUCUCCUUAAAAAAAAGUCUCUCUGAUAGACUGUUUGCAAAAAAUAGCCAGACUUUCAAUUUCUGUACCCAAGCCCUUUUACAACUUGAGUUUGCACGUUCUCCCAUCAAGAAUGCCUAUUUAUCCGCCAAUUGAAUGUGGAAUAUCUAUGUCUUGAUUUGUCUAAAAGAAUGAGUCAGAUGUGACAUCAUGCCAGUCGACCUCACAAGGGCAUGCAAACUUCUACUUGUUCUGUUCGAUCCUCACUGUGCUAUGAGAACAAGACUUUCUGGAGUUGACGAUGAGAGACUUUUAUCAGAGUCCAGUUUUCCCAGUCAAGGCUUUGAAUAAGUGAGGACACUCAGCCAGCACCAAAACAAAACAAAACAAAACAGUAUGAGCUGAUCCGCAGGUGACAACUGAUAUGUCGGGAGCAUUGAGCUCCACAGAUAAUAAUGUAUACCAGCUCAGGCCAAAAUAACUGCCCAGUUGACCUGCAGACUGUGAGCUAAGAAACAGUUACAGUAUUAAACCAGUAAGUAGUUUGUUGGUUUGCCAUAAGAAUUACUAAUUAGACAUCUAACAUGACAAAUUAGAAAGUACGGCCCAAAAUUGUAACAGAGGGAAAAAACAUUUCAAUUCUAAUGAAAACAAUUUACCAUCAGACUCUAGAAAAUUUGUGAUAUUAUAUGUGGAAUAAGGCAAGAUGAUGAAAAAUACCUCGAUUUUGGUUAAGAUCACAAUGGCCACAGAUAUUCUUAUCCCAUGCCCUACUCAUCUAUAUUGUAGGAAACUCUAUCCUCACAAUCUGUUAUACCCUAGGACAGUGUCUGUAUUAAUCAGGGUUCUCUAAAGGGACAGAAAUAAUAGGAUAUAUGUACACAUGAAGGGGAGUCUAUUAGGAUAAUUGACUCACAUAAUUAGAAGGUGAAGUCCCACAAUAGGCCAUCCGCAAGUUGAGAAGCAAGAAAGCCAGUCCGAGUCCCAAAACUUCAAAAGUAGGGAAGCUGACAGUGUAGACUGCAGUCUGUGGCAGAAGGCCCAAGAACCCCUGGCAAAUGAUUGGUGUAAGUCCAAGAGUCCAAAAGCUGAAGAACUUGAAGUCUGAUGUUUGAGGGCAGGAAGCAUCCAGCACGGGAGAAAGAUGGAGACCGGAAGACUCAGCAAGUCUGCCCUUUCCAACUUUUUUUGCCUGCUUUCUUCUAGCCAUGCUGGUAGCUGAUUACACAGUGCCCACCCACAUUGAGGGUGGGUUUGCCUCUCCCAGUCCUCUGACUCAAAUGUUAAUCUCCUUUGGCAACACCAUUGCAGACACACCCAGGAACAAUACUUUGCAUCCUUCAAUCCAAUCAAGUUGACACUCAAUAUUAACCAUCACAGUGUCCAUUAAUAUUUCAGGAUGCUGAAGGUAACAAAUGCAUGAAAGUCAACUUUUUAAUAUAGAUCUCUGCUAGACUCUACUCCUAAACCAAAUUAGGAUCUUGAAGUGUGAAAAAAAUAGCAUGAUACAUAGAGUUAAAAUAAUACAAUAUCAGAACUUUAGUAUCAUUUCAAAUCUAUUUGUCCAUGUAGAAAAAAAUGGAAAUCAUACUUGCCUAUAAACACUAAGGCACAAAUCUAAGAGUUCUAUCGAUGCUUCAAAUCUUUCAUGGUUUAUUCCAUGUUUAGGGAAUAGAGUUCAAAAUCUGUAUUAGGAACUAUAGGAAUUGUAUUACAUGGUCUCUUGUCUAUGACUGCAGUCUCAUCUCCCAUUGCUGCUACCAGGUGCUCACAUGGAUUUCAUUUUUGCUUUUUUUUCAGGAGCAUGCCACAAACCCCAGCUAAUUUUUGUAAUUUUAAUAUAGCCGAAGUUUUGUCAUGUUGUCUAGGCUGGUCUCAAACUCCUGGGCUCAAGCAGUUCCAUAGUCCUUAGAUUACAGGCAUGAGCCACUGCGCCCAGUCGCAUUUUGUUUAAAUUAAUUUGCUAACAGUUGGCCGGGCUUCUUCUGUCAUACCACAAUGACUUUGAUUUUGUCUUCAUUUUCCUAAAAUGCACGUACCUGUCUUGUCUGUCUAGAAAGCUCUUUUCAUUCUUUCUGUUACAAAUCACAGUGUAACCUGUGAAGACCUCCUAAAUCCCCCAGAGAAGUGAAGGGUUUCUUCUGCAUGCUUCCACCAUACUAUGCAUGCACUUUAGCUGUAGCAUUUUUCACACUGAAUUAUAAUAAUUGCUUCACAGAUCUGAUUCCUUGAUUAUGGCAACCAUAUUCCCUAUCAUUUUCAUAACUUCACCUGAUCACAUAGGGCUAGAAAUAUAUCAUGGCACCAUCUUUUUUGAAUAUAGGGAUUCUCCAAACUAUGCCUUCUGGGUUUCAUGUGAACAAGCUACAAAAAAUAUGAAAAUAAAGAUGCAUUAGCAUUUAUGAUUUUUUAUUUGUAUGUCUAAAAGGAGCAUGGGAGUAGGUGAGCAUUUAAUGAAAAUUAUUGAAUAAUUUAGUGGUGACUGUGAGACCAGCAGAGAUGUAGAACAAUAUAGGAUUGAUUUCAGAUAAUACACAGGGGCAGUUAGGACUGUGGUUCUAUAGCCUCUUCCUUGAUAGGGAUUUCAGAUAGUCAGUACCAUGGGUUAUGUGGAAUAUCACCUUCAUAACAAAAGAUGUGAAUGGAGACAAAAAAAUGUGCAUCUUUGAAAUUGUGCUAUCGACUAUGUCUAGGUUGGAAAUAAAGACAUCCUGACAAAAGCAUAUGGAACUGAGAAGGUCAGCGAUUGAUAUUUUUGCUUUGUACAGUCUCUGCCUGUUUUCUAAGUUUACCUUCCAAGUCAGUCAACAAUUAUGAUGCACUCAAAAUCCCCCGAAUCACCUCUGGAAGUAUAAAGACAGUGCUAGUAUGUUUCCUGGCAGGGAGGUGUGUUUAACAAAACAGGACUACUAAAACAAAUUAAAAUAUCAAAUUUUCUUUAAAAUAUAUUUAGAAUGUCAAAAUCCAUCUAUAAACGUUAAAACGUGUACUUGAGAUGCAAUUUAUAAAAAAUCUCAGAAUUAUUAGAGUUAAAUAAUUGUACCCCGAGGACCAUCUUCUUUAAAGCCUUUAUUUUUCAGAUGAAGAAAAGGAAGACUGAGACAAGCUAGCUAGACUUAAAUAAGAUAAAUAGGAUCACUAGACCUAGACUCGUGUUGAUCUUUUUCCAAGAACACUGAUAAAAAAAUAAUGAGCUUUGAAAAAAAAUUAUAGAAUUUGAAUGCCCACCAAAAAUUUAAGAAGGAAACAUAAGAAAAUAUUAGCCAAAUACUACAAAAGCUUCCUAUUAUACCUAAGGCAUCCAGGUUGAUAUAAGCUGUCUCAUGAGCAAAGUCAGUCUUGAGUGGAGUUUUGGUACAAGUACAUAAUGAAAAGAACUAAAAACUCCAGAUGAGCUAUAGGAAGUGUACAUGUCAAGAAAGCAAACGCUUGAAUUAUUGACUUGGAAGACAAACAUGACCUUUUCUUCUCUUUGUACACAAAUCUUUAAAUUUUCUCGAUUCCUUGUCACGUGAAUCACACCUUCAGACACAUUCUAGACCUAACCUUUCACUUAUAAGGAGAAUGACCAGAGAUGCUUUUCAUAAUUCUUUUGAACUUCAGUUUUUAUAUCCAUCUGUGAGACAAUAAUCACACAUGGCUUCUCUCCCAUUGCAUGGUUAUGCUGAAGUUCAGUGAGAAGGAUUGACAAACUGAGACAGAAAGGAGCAGUAAGAUGCUGGGAUUCGGUCCAAGAAGUUUCUUCUCAUGUAGGCCAAUAAUAGAAUACUGAAGACAAGAAUUUCACUAAAUUUAAAAUCUUGUCUUAAAUACAAUUAUAAUAGCACUAAAUUACUCUAACCUUUAUUUCAUUUGAAUAUACCUGGUAUAAUUCAUUUCAAUACCUGCUAUAAUAAAAGCAACUGCAGCAACAAAAAUUCCUUGAGUCUGUUUAUUGUAUUCACAUCUACUCUUUUAUUUGCUCUUCAUUGAAUAUAAAUUUGUAAUAUUACUAGUGAUAGAAGAGAAAAAAAUAAAUAAGGUAAGAACACUUCACCACAAUUACAAAACUUAUCUGAAACCUUACAAUUAAGAUUUUAAUCCAGAUUAUAAUUCAGGUUUUUCCUUUUAUGUCUAUAUGGUUUUGACUCACAUGUAUUCUCCAAAAUCAAUGCAUAUCAGUCAUCUUUAACUAAGCACUUGAUAUCUUUUAUUCUGAUCAAUGCAUUUAUGCCAAAAAAUUAUAAUUAUAAAAUUUGGAAGACUCAAACAUCAAUACUGUUUGGUUACAUAAAAAUAUUCGACCAGAACAUAUUUUGAAACAUCACACCUACACAAAAUGACUUUUCAGUGUUUCCUUACAAGCAAAGUUAUUAAAUUCCCUGAAGAGGCCAUAAUUUUUCCAUAUCAAUUCUCAAAAUACUAACUUGAAGAAUGAAAGGGUUAUGCUAAUAAUGAUUAAAUAUGCAGUUAAAAUUGGGAUAAAUGUUUCAAGACAAUAAAAGUUGAAAAGAAUCUAAACAGCACUGAAUUACACAAGUGUCUGGGGAAAUCUAUGAAUUAAGUAUAGAUCAUCAUCUCAUAGUAACCUUUGAUAGUUCUCAUUAAAACUGCAGCAAUAGAAUCUGUUAGAGGCCUCCAGAGAGAUAUUAUGUGUAAAUGCAGAAAUUAAAAAAUGAAUAUUAAAUGAUCCUAUUGAGAAAUUAAGGCCAUUCAAUUGUGUUAAUGGCAGUAGAGUAUAAGAUCUAUGUUUUCAAUCUGUUCCUCUAAAAAGGAAAUAAAAAUCUGCAUCUAAUGUACAGAUUUAAUAAAACAAUUCAAAUAACAUCUAUUUUGCAUAAUAAGAUUUGUAUAAAGUAUUAUAUAGAAUGUGAUAUAUUUAUAAUAUAUAUAACAUGUACAUAAACGUACUUACAUAUAUAAAAUAUUACCUCCUGGGCACUAAACUGGUCAUCUUACAAACAUAAGUUUACAAUGUCAAUGAUAUUCAACUCCGCAUUCCCGUUUAGAAUAAUCUGGUAAUGUGCAAUUUACCAUUUCAGGUCACAGAUCUGCACAACAUCACAAAAUAUCAGGAUGAACAGGAUACUCUAUUUGAAAAAAUGGGAUUUCUAGAGUAAAGAGAAUAAAAUUAAUCUAUUUUUGUCACAAACACACAUCUGCAGCUUCAGAGAAAAUUAAAUAUAAUAAGGCAGCAUAGAUAUUAUGCAAUUCCAUCCGAUAUUUUUUAAAUGUGUAGUCACACCAGGUUCAGGGCUCUAAGUAAGCAAAAGACUAUAGGGUUCACUGGGAUCAGCAAAGACAGACCCCAUUUAAGGAGAAAAUAUUUGAACUGUGUCAUGUAAGGUCAUUAGGCACUAUCCAUACUAAGAGAAGCAGAAAGUUCAAACAAAGGAUCAUGCAAGAAAAUUUUUAUAGCGAUUGCUCCGUAUUUUGAAGGUUUCAUCCUAAAAAUAAAGCUCUUAUUGAGUUCAUUUUCCUUAUAAUGUUUCAAUUACUAGAUUUAAUUGAUGAUGCAAGUAAGUGCAGUUGAAGAUUUUACUCCUGUUUCAAUUAUUCAUGAAGACAGUGGUCAUGGUGUUUUCUCCUGGUUCAAACACCUUAGGGUAAAUUUUAAGCCCCAAAACACUCUGUAUUAGGCUUUCUACUUCUUAGCAACGUUGUAAACAUGGCCGUAAAGAAGGGGAGAAACACCUCGAAAAUUGCCAGGCAAUUAUUACCUGAAUAAAAGCAACUCACGUUUAGGGCCAAAUUAUUCCUAUCAUAGCAAAGUCUCUUUAUGAAUUUAUUAUAUGAAUUUCAGCUCCCAAAGCAAGUUUUAUGAAAAGGUAAUGUUUAUUUUUCUCUUUGUGUAGAAACAUUUGGCUUGCCAUGAAGCAUCUCUUCCUUUGUUGCAUUUUUUAUGACACUUAGUUUGGGAAAAGCAAUUUUAGAUGUGAAGUAUGUGUAAUCGUAUUGAUGGGUAAUGGUAAAACAUCAGUCAGGCUUUGGGCCAAAAGUAAUCUGUGCGAUAAAAUAGAAAGCUAAGGCCUUGUAUGUCAGCACAACUCUGUUGCUCUCCUCUACCUCAGCACCCAAAGCCAAAAUCAACCUAUCCACACACUUUCUCAUAAAUGCAUGAGCUAUUCUGCAUGUGCACUGCAAUAAUUUAUUGAGACUCCCUGCCUAAAUACCAGAGGCAAUAGGUAGUCAGAUGUUCAGCAUAUAAAAAUUUCCUUUGUAAAAUAUUAGCAGAGCUAUAAAUUUGUCUGUUCUUUUAUAUAGUUAUGCAAACACAAACAUUUAAUGUAAUGUUAGACACUGGCAUAAAUGCAAAGCAUUUUUUGUAAUAUUAAGGGGCAGCAGCUAUUCCUUUUUCCCACUCAAAUGCUCAAUCUUUCUUGGUCUUUUUAUUCUCGUCUUCCAUGUUUUUUGUGUGUCUAAGGACUCUCUGUGUCUCCAGAACAGGAAACCCUCAUUGGAUAUUUGACAAGGGGUCAGGAAACUUUUUCAAUGAAGGGCAAGAUAACAAGUAUUUUAGGCUAUGUGGGCCAUAUGGUCUCUGUCUCAACUACUGAAUUUUUCCAUGCAAAUUAACAAAAUAUAAACAAUGGAUGGAUCUGUCUUCCAAUAAAAGUUUGUUUUCAAAAACAGGCAGUAGACCAAAUUUGGCUGAUGGGUCAGUUUGCCAAAUCUUGCCCAUAUGUAAGCUUUUGGGGGCUAGAUGUUGGUGUCAUUUCUUUUUAUUCCGGCUUGUACUCAAUUACUAGAACAACUUCAUUUCUGUCUGAUAUCAUCACAGACUACACUACUUAUGACUUUUUCCAGAGUCUGGAAUUCCCAUGUAUCUCCAGCUGAUCUGAACCCUACACUGAAAAUAUUACACUUCUGUGCAAACUUAUACAUAAAUAUAUAGUUAUGCAAACUAUAUAUAUAUAUGGGGUACAAGCACAGAAUUCUUACAUGCAUAUAUUGCAUAGUGGUGAAGUCUGGGCUUUUAGUGAACCCAUCACCUGAAUAGUGAAUAUUGUACCCAAUAGGUAACUUUUCAAUCCUCACCUGCCUCUCAUCCUUCCAACUUUUGUGGUCUCUAGUGUCUAUUAGUUCAGUCCGUCAGUGUGCACCAAUUGUUUAUCUCCCACUUGUAAGUGAGGAUAUGCAAUAUUUGACUUUCUGUUUCUGCAUUAUUUCACUUAGGAUUAUGGCCUCCAGUUCCAUCCAUGUUGCUGCAGAAGCUAUAAUUUUAUUCUUUUGAAUGCUUUAAGCGUUCCAAAUCAUUGAAUUACUGAGAAGAUUAAAUGAGGGUAAAACAAUCCUUGAUACAUACCAACCAUCCAAUAAGAUUUGGCUGCAAUCACUACUUGUCAUCAUCAGUGACUGUAACAGAAGCAUGAAGACCAUAGCAAAGAGUCUGGAUACAGUGAAACAAGAAAUCGAGAGCCUUGUUAUUUCCUGCCUAAGGUAAUGCCAUGAGAAACAAACAAACAAGCAAAAUCGUAUUUUAUAGAGCUGAAAAAAAUCAUUUAUUUAAGGAAAAUAAAGAAGACGAGGAGAGGAGUAAGGAUUUGACGGGGGGAAUGGAGACAGGCCAGGCAGAAAUAAGAGCUUGGAUUACAUUUUUAAUAGCCUAAAAUAUGGAAAGAAAUGAUUGAGGUUGAUAUAUUGCAGACCUGUUUUCUUCUUUGACAGAAAAUUCCUUAAGAUUCUAGGAUGCAAAGAUUGGCAGUCAAAUUCAUUCAGAUGUACAGACUUUAUUCUUUUAUAAAAAGCCAUCCCACUGAUAUGCUUAUAAAAGCAGAUAUACAUUGUAGGGACUGUUGUGAAAUUGCCAGGCUCUUGUGGUCUCUAGUAGCUCCAUUUGCAUGCUAAUGAAACCAGAGGCCAGAUGCCACUAAUUACAACCCAGUCACUCUGUCCAACACCCCACAACCAACUGCCAGUGAAUGGACCUUGUCAUUCCAUUAUGCAAAUGAUACUUAGGAAGAACAGGAAUAAGUUCUAAAUAGUGGCAACCAGAGCCAUAUAUUGGCAGGAGGUAAAUUAAUAAAUAUAUUCAAGAAAUGGAAAUUAAAAAUUAUUAUUCAACAGUAGAUUAAUCAUGGCUGAAUAAAUAUGGAACAGAACAACUUUUUUUUUUCUUAGUGUUCUGAGCAAUCGAAUGAAACUUUCAGUAACUUAUUAAGGUGUAGUAAAUUGUAUUUCCAGAAAUCAUCCAUCAGGUUGCUAAAGGGUUAAGCAUUCUUAACACACUCAAGUGUUUUUUUUUUCUGCAUGAGACAAACAAACAAAAUCCUUAAGAGUGUUUUUCUUGGGUUACAAAGUUAUGUUAAAUAAAAAUAAAAAUGGAGGGAAAACCUUUGCUUCUGAGCCAAUGGCCCACACCAGCUCAAGAAAACUUAUAAAGACCGAUUCUGGAAAUGUCAGAAAUGAAGCUUGAGCUUUAUUUCCUUGUAAGCAUGACUCAGCACAUGCAGACAAUCAUCUAUUACCUACGUAACCUGCUCUGAUCAUCCUAAAAGGAAAGAUACUGUAAAAUAACCAAUGAGAAUCAAGAUGUAUGAACUUCUUUUUUUCCGUUUUUUAAACCUUAACUAUAACCUUUAGGAGAUGAGCUUCUUGCCAUUUUCUAUUUUGGAGUCUCUGUUCUGGAAUAGUGUGUUCUCAAUAAAAUAUUCAUGUCAAGUAAAA